AGGGAUUCAGGAUGAACACGGCCUGCAGAGCUGCUUAAGGCAGUAAUUCAGCUUCCUGUGGGAGCUGGUGGACAGAAAAUGUAUAUACCGGGUUGUUUUGGAUGGGUGAGGAGUAGUUGUGCUCACAGCCUAAAGUCUUCUGUGUUUAGCAUCCUGAUGAUUUUUAUCUUCUUUUUCUUCCUUCUGUAGGAUCCCUAGGGAUCGUUGUUUAACAACAAGACAUCUGCUUUCUCAUGCCAUGCUACUGGACUGUUCUCUCACUGCAUGUGGAGCAGCCAUGUCUUUUCUCCUCUGCCCCCUUCCAGGUGGGGUACAGUAUCACAAGGUGACUGGAGAAGAACAAGGAUCCCCUUAAUGAAAUGGCGGUGGGCUUGUUCCAGAAGUCCAGCAUGCCCCUGCUCUGUGUCCUCCUUAAAGAGGAGGAGGCUGCAGAUACCAGAUCCUGAAUCCCAGCAUAAUCCCUCAGGGGUUUGUGGACAAUAAGAAGGCAUCAGAGUUGCUACUUGGCUUUAUUGACCUAAGGGAGAAUGAGUACAAAAUCGGACAUACAAGGUACUGUUUACUCCUAGCAAAUCGAGCUAAAUAAAAUCGAUGGAAGUUAUGACUCA
rnacentral:lncRNA from 1 species